CACCUCAUUUCCCCCCAAACCCCGUCGCCCCCUCAGACUUGUCUGGAUCCCAUCAGAAAUGUGUUAAUCACAGAGAAAUGACAUACAUCUCUACUCUGAGGUACGUAUAAAUUUAGCAUGACAUGGCGAGAGACCCAGUGCUCCACACUCAGCAGAAGGUUGUGCUUGCUGGCAGCCCGGGGAGCUUCGAGUCUCUCUGUGAUGCCCGGGGCUCUGGCGAUAACCUCCAGCAGCGGCUCCCGCAGCUUCCCAGCCCUGAAGCUGUGCCCUUAGUGGGCGUUAAGUUUCUUUUGCUUGGCUUUUCUAUGUGAAAGUAAUAGUUAAUGCUUCUGUUAGGAGGGAAAACUCCACUUUGUCUUUUCUUUUUCCCCUGGCAAGAGGAGGAGUGACGAUGGAAAGCAGUUUUCCAAACUUCCUGAAGCGUGGUGUGGUCACAUGCUGGGGGCUGUUUUGUACGGAAGGCACGGCCAGUCGGUACAACUGCGUGUAGUAGUCGGAAUCUGGUCUGAGAGAUGCGCAGAGCUGCCAGCCGUGGAAGGACAUGCUUCUUCAAGGCCUGGGGCAGAGGCGGAGGGAGGAUUGCUGGCUGCCUUUCCCGAGUUGUUCCCGAGGCAGGACUGCUCUUGGGAAUCAGGCACCCAAACCAGGCUGGGAUUCCUGGAAGAGAGCUCGCUGGUGUCCUGUUGAACUUGGAUUUGGAGCUUACAGCCUCCCUUCAAACCCAGGGUAUCCAUUGUUUGGGACCAGUGCGCGCUGUGUGGAAAUGAAGGGUGGGACUGCAGGGGAGAGUUUCCAGUACCUGCUGAGUGCACGAAUCCUGCUCGGCUCUCGCAGCGCUGAGCUCUUCCCGGACAUCCCCUGGAGGACUUUCCUCUCCGCCUCCCUCGAAGCACCGUUCCUGCGCUAGUCAGGUUCGUGCCCCACAUUCGCGCCGUUCCAAGCGGCAGCGCCCCAUCCCCCUGAGGUUGUCUCAAAGCCAUUCUCCAUCCAGCAGCGCCGGCCCACGUGAUGGGUGAAUCCAGGUCAGAGAGCACGGUCCCUUCACAUCUGCUCGAUGCUUGCUGCUGACAUUUUCAUUCAGCCUGCCUGUACUGGGCAGCGAUGGAGGUCUAUGAAGGGGGGACAGAAACAUCUUUCUGCUGGGGGAGGACAAUGGCAGGACCUCCCAGUAACUGCAGCUGUGUCGGGGCUCUGAAUACAACAGGCCACUCUUGGCAGUGCUACUGAGGUCUGGCUCUUGGAAAGCAGCACUGUGAUUCAGCUGUCACUCAGCUCCCAGCAAAGGGAGCUUUGAAAAGGCGCCUCUGCUGCUCUCCUGGAGUAGCAAAUAUUUCCUAGGCCUCUGCUGCUGAAUGGGAGAGAUUGCCAUUGUCCUUCGUCCCCUCUCAGGCUUGCUGGGCUUGCUCUAAAUGGGCCUUUUGCGAGGGAACAAUAAGCCCGGCGAAGGGUCCAGGUUGCACAUGUCUGAGCAGUGAGAACACUCGAGCACUUGUUCAUUGGCUCCCGUGAUGUGAAAGGCUGCGCUGCCGGGAGCAGGUUUAUUUUCCAGCCACAGCUGUGGGGUUGUUUUCUCUCUCAGGUUGUGCUGCUCUGGGUGUACAUCUGCAUGUUUCACCUCAUUUCCUAGAAAAUGUCUUUGCCCCAAGACUUCCUUUGGCCUCAGAAAUCUGUUUCCUUUUGUCGCUGGAGCUGUGUGAUGUUGCAGUGAAACCACAAGCCAGGUGGGACCAGCCGCUUUCACAUCUCGCUGCUGUGACAAAGCGGGGUUUGACUGAGUAUCCCCAGCCUUGCAUCGCCGUGUGGUUUUGUGGCAAAACCACACGCACCUCUCUGAGUCAGACCCACGGAAAAGCCAUGGCUUCAGCUGAGGUUCACAAUGAUUUGGGGGUUAAUUCUGGUAGAAGGUGUUCCUCAGUAAUCCGUGUGGAGGCAAAAGGUAAAAUUUUCUGGGCCCACACAACAUUUUCUAGUUUUCCUCAGACCUCCUCAUGAAACUUUCAGCAUCACAGGAUUAGAUGCUGCUUUUUGAAUAUGACUGAUGUUAUUCCUGUUCUCUUCCUUCCCCAGCUGGAAUGUUUUUUUGUGAGUACAUCAUUGAUUAGUGGGCACGUAGAAGUAUACUGAAGCUUUUAUUUAAAGGGAAAAAGGAUUAGGUCCUACUGGGAAAGAAUUGGGUUCAGUCCCUCACUGGAAGAAGGGUCAAUAUGCUGUUUAGUGGAAUAGAGUAAAACCUUACGGAGAGACAAAUAUGAACACGUCCAGUUACAAUCUUGUCAUCUGAAAACCAGAAAAGGAGCCGUAAUGGUCUUUGGAUCACUUCAAAAAAAUCAGUUCGUUUUUAAACCCCACGCAGAUCCCAAGUAUAUAGUAAUGAAUUCAUUUCCUCCACCUGCAAUUCACUUUUUUAGGGGGUCUUAUAACAAUGACCCGUCUAGAAGUGAUGUAAGACCAAGGAGCAGCGUUCAGUGACUCAGAGCCUUGCUCCCCUAGAGCGCAGCUGACACGGUUUGCUUUGUUUUUCUGACAUCGCAUGUAUAGAGAAUAGAGCACUUUGCAGUAAACGUGGCCUCUGCUUACAUACGCCUACGAAUUAAUGCCAGCUUUUAUUUUAAAAUGCUAUCAGAAAAAUGAGUUCUUUGUUCAGUUCUGUCAUCUGAUUUUCCUCCUGUGCUGGUCUUACUCUGGUGCAGUUUGCAUUGGAGCUUUUCCGGAGUUAGGAAUGUGAAAGGCCAGGCGAUGGCUCCUUUGCAAGGGACCCAACUGCAGCCUGUCGCGAAAAGAAGUUCACAAAAAGGAGGUGACCUCACCCCAGCUGCCAGUCCAGGGGUUUGCGCUGUGCCUUGUCCUCCAAGUGCCAGUGAGGAAAAUCUCUUCGGAAGUUUCUGCCUUGCUCAUCCCAUUUACUGAAACUAAAUUUCAGGAAGCUAAUCGGGCAGAGAGUGCAAAGGAUGAAAUGUUAGAAAUCAAAUUAAUGAAGCUGAAUCACCAAUUUGCGACCUAGAAGACUAUUAGGAGUGGUCAGAAUUAAUUAACUCUCCUUUGCAAUGCUUCAGAGGAAGCCAGCGAGCUAGGCACAGAGACGCAAAGGACAUCAAUGGGAUCUGACUACCUGGAGCCCUGUGAAGAAACGCAGCGAGGCUGCUCUCUGGCCCGAGCCUGGGCUCCGAGGGCUGCUUAUGAAACACGGUCAGCAGGAGCAGGAGGGAGAGUUGCCAUGCUCCCAUCUCGUGUCCUGCUCGCAUGCAGGGCUGGGCUCCGUCUCCCAGUGCCGCAGCCAUCACCAGACACAGAGAAACUCUGACGCAGUGUCUUGCUCAUGUAUUUUGCUGAAUUAGUCAAAACCAGGUCUGAACCCUAAGCUCUUCCAGGGAAAGAUGAUACAGGUGUCGAGCUGUAGCUUCUUUCCUUUCAAAGGUCGGAGUUUUAGACAGCUCAGUCUGGUCGUUGCCAAAAUAAGUCAGUCAUUGGGGGUGCUCAGUGAUAGGAAGCCAACUUAUCAACUGAUUUGAAGUGAAUGUGAAAGGCGAUACCCACUUUAGUAAUUUUGGAGAAUUGUGAAGAAAAUGAGUGUUUUCCUCACCAUUCUUUUUGGGGCAAAUAUGGAAGGAAGAAGAUAUCUAAUGGUGUUUAUUUUCACUAACCAGAAAUGCAGUGUUUCUUCUUGAGCUGAUAAACUCUUCUGUAUGCUAAACAGCCUGUGGGAGGAAGGAAGGGGAGGGAAAGAUUGGUGCAGAGAUGGCUUCAGGUCCUUGAAUAAUGCAUUGUUCACUAAAUUGACUGUCCGAUCAGGAAAUAGUCCACUGUAUGUGAUCAACAUCGACAUUGCUAGCUGGACAGCUUACAAAGAAGCAUUUUGGAAUUAAUUUGAUGAUUAUGAAAAUGUCUUAGAUCCUUUGCUGAAAGCUAAAUAAACACAAUUAAAAUAUU